AGUCCUUCAAUGGAGACCAAAUUAUAUUCCCGUAGACAAAUUAGGUAAAGUCAACACCCUUUCAAGGUGUGGUUUGA
rnacentral:tRNA from 1 species